rnacentral:rRNA from 1 species
UACGUAGGUGGCAAGCGUUGUCCGGAAUUAUUGGGCGUAAAGCGCGCGCAGGCGGUCCUUUAAGUCUGAUGUGAAAGCCCACGGCUCAACCGUGGAGGGUCAUUGGAAACUGGGGGACUUGAGUGCAGAAGAGGAGAGUGGAAUUCCACGUGUAGCGGUGAAAUGCGUAGAGAUGUGGAGGAACACCAGUGGCGAAGGCGGCUCUCUGGGACGGUACUGACGCUGAGACGCGAAAGCGUGGGGAGCGAACAGG